GGGCGAUUAGCUCAGAGGAAGAGCGCUUCCCUCACACGGAAGAGGCCGCAGGUUCAAGUCCUGCAUCGCCCACCA
rnacentral:tRNA from 1 species